GUGCUGCAGUUUCACUUUCGGUUUCUCCCACUUUCGGCUUGCUGUUCAGACUGCUGCAACGCCAGCUGGCUAGGUCGCUCUUAGCGAUUCUAAUGAACCAUACACUUUCUUAACUGUGGAGGAAAAAAAGACAAAACUGUUAUUUGGAGCCGAAUCGAGCAGGCAGUUUAACAAGCAACAGGAAAUGUUUAAAAGCACCAAGAUCAUUAUCCAGUAAAAUUAAAUCUCCAAACCAAAGGGCUGAACACUCAAUCCAUGGGAAUUCUUCAAGUGGAACUACUAUCAGCCUCAAGAACACAACU